rnacentral:rRNA from 1 species
UGGGGAAUAUUGGACAAUGGAGGAAACUCUGAUCCAGCAAUUCUGUGUGUGUGAAGAAGGUUUUAGGACUGUAAAACACUUUUAGUAGGGAAGAAAAAAAUGACGGUACCUACAGAAGAAGCAACGGCUAAAUACGUGCCAGCAGCCGCGGUAAUACGUAGGGGGCUAGCGUUGUCCGGAAUCACUGGGCGUAAAGGGUUCGCAGGCGGAAUAACAAGUCAGAUGUGAAAGGCAUGGGCUCAACCCAUGUAAGCAUUUGAAACUGUAAUUCUUGAGAAGUGGAGAGGUAAGUGGAAUUCCUAGUGUAGCGGUGAAAUGCGUAGAUAUUAGGAGGAAUACCUGUGGCGAAGGCGACUUACUGGACACAAAUCUGACGCUGAGGAACGAAAGCGUGGGUAGCAAACAGG